AUAUUGCACAAUGGGGGAAACCCUGAUGCAGCGACGCCGCGUGAGUGAAGAAGUAUCUCGGUACGUAAAGCUCUAUCAGCAGGGAAGAAAAAAAGUCUUUGGCUUUGGACGGUAGCUGACUAAGUAGCCUCGGCUAACUACGUGCCUGCAGCCGCGGUAAUACGUAGGGGGCAAGCGUUAUCCGGAUUUACUGGGUGUAAAGGGAGCUUAGACGGCAGCGCAAGUCUGGAGUGAAAUGCCGGGGCUCAACCCCGGAACUGCUUGGGAAACUGUGCAGCUAGAGUGCGGGAGAGGUAAGCGGAAUUCCUAGUGUAGCGGUGAAAUGCGUAGAUAUUAGGAGGAACACCAGUGGCGAAGGCGGCUUGCUGGACCGUAACUGACGUUGAGGCUCGAAAGCGUGGGGAGCAAAC
rnacentral:rRNA from 1 species